rnacentral:rRNA from 1 species
GAGGUCCGACCUGCCCAGUGAUAUUAAUUCAACGGCCGCGGUAUUUUGACCGCGCUAAGGUAGCACAAUCACUUGUCUCUUAAAUGGGGACUAGUAUGAAAGGACCCACGAGAAUCUAACUGUCUCCUUUCUUUAAUCCGUGAAACUAAUCUCCCUGUGAAAAAGCAGGGAUCAUCAUAUAAGACGAGAAGACCCUAUGGAGCUUUAGAUAAAACAAUACUUUCUUUUUCUAAGCCACUUUCAGAAGAAUACCCCCCAAGACAUUUUAUUGCCAAUCUUCGGUUGGGGUGACCACGGAGUAAAACUAACCCUCCACGCCAGAUGGAAUUUUCCAUGACAAAGAACUACAGUUCUACAAACCAAAAAAAUUGACAAUUGACCCAAUAUUUGAUCAACGAAACAAGUUACCCUAGGGAUAACAGCGCAAUCUACUUCAAGAGUCCCUAUUGACAAGUGGGUUU